AGAUCAGUAUGGACAAUAUUCUAGACGAAAUUGGACUGGGAGACGUUAAAGAAAUCUUUAGAAGAAAUCGGAUGGAAGUCUACCACUUACAUUUGGGGAACUUACAUGUAUGUCGUUCAUUACGGGAGCUGACCACAUCCCGCCAUGCGGCUUCUGCCAAAAAGUUGUAAUUAGUUUCUACGACCAAACAGAUGGAACAGUUCGGUACCCGUCAGUGUCAACAUGUGCAUUCUAUCUAUGGCUCCCACGAGGAAUGGAUAAUGCAAAGGAUUUUGCAGAGCUGAUGAUGGAUGCCGUGAAAAAUUCUCACGGUUUUCUAAAAAUUUAAUGCAGUUCAAUUUCAGUUACAUUUUAAGAGGAGUAUCCUAACAUUGGAGUAUGUGACGAUUUCAGUAAUAGAUCCGUUAAUUAUUGAAAGGAAACAAUUUUUUAACAUUUUAUUUUAAUGUCACAAAUUAGUGGCCUUGAGACUGUUUUUAAGUUUAGUUCAGACUGUUGUAUUUAAAUUUUAACUGUUAAUUGUACCCCUGCCCCCACCCCCUGCACAAACGAAGUUGUAAAGGGGUAUACUGGUUUCAGGUUGUCUGUCUGUCCGUUAGUCCGUCCGUAGACGCAAUAUGUUUUCGCACCAUAUCUCUGAAACCCCUUGACACAAUUUAAUGAAACUUCACAUAAGUAAUCAGUACCAACACAGGUUGUGCUUAGGUUCUUUAAAAGAUUGUGUGCAGUUAUGGGACUUUGUUUUUCUUUGUUACCAUGCUCUAUGCAUAGUCUGCAUAUGCAAUCUUGUGCGCGCCGAAUCUGCUUAACCUUUGAACGCAAUUUAAUGAAACUUCAUGCAAGUGAUCAGUACCAAUCCUAGUUGUGCAUGUAGCAUGAUAGGUUCUUUCUGAAAAAUAAAUCUGCAGAGUUAUGGGACUUUGUUUUCUGUGACCAUAUUAUUUACAUAGUUUGCAUAUAAUUUAUUGAAACUUUACACAAAUGGUCAGUACCAACCUUAGAUGUGCACGGUGCAUGUUAGGUUUUUUUU
rnacentral:lncRNA from 1 species